GGCCAUACGCACAGCUCAACGAGCCCACGAGGGUCCCGCGGCUGCUUUAACACGGUUUGUGGGAUUUAAUGAUCCCCCUGUGGCUGCUGAGAUGUUUGCCGCGGCACUCCAGUGUUUAUUGUUACUGCCGCUGGUUUAUGGGCGAGCUGUUAAGUGGACAUUUGUGAACAUAAUGGUGAAAUGUUUAAAGAGCUGAGCGGACUGGAUAGAAUCCUGCUGAUACUGAGUCACACAACACUGCUAUUAACAACAGCACACAUGAAGAGAGAGAGCAGCGGUUCAGGUGGAGAGGACAGCUGCACAGACUGAUUACUGUUUGGACUUCAGUUCUUAUGAGCACUGGCUUUCUGGAGGCAGCGCAGUUCACAUGACUAACAAUAUGACACAAGUGGAGUCCUGCUGCUGUUCUCAAGAGCUCUCAGGAGAUCUCUGGCUGCUCUGAGUAAAUAAACCCGCUGCCAGCACUGAUCGAAUGCAUUUAGAAGAGCUGCCCGUGAUAAUGGCCUGUUUAGGUCUCCAUGGAGACAAGAUCAGCAUCUGCAUCCUUCAUCAUGUGAAUGCUUUACGGUGACUUUGAGAGAGGAGCUUCUCCUGCCACAGGCGGGUUUGGAUCACGGCUGUUUAUUUUCUACAUGUCAUAACAAUAGUAGUCAUCUGGACUAAGUAAUAAAAAAAUAUAUGAAAAACAUGAAAGAAUGGGGAAUUAAAACAUGUUGAAUAAACGUUUUUAAUAUUUUACAUUCUUUAUCCAACAGUGUUUAAGAAAGAAGUGUCAUUUCUGUGCUGCUACACUGAAAAAGGGUGUGCACAAAUUGCUAGUGAAUUUGCACAAAUAAUUACAAAGAAACAGCAAAAGUAACACAUUAGAUUUUUGUAAAACCUUUUUAAAUAAUCUUUGUUUUAUUUUUUUGUAUUUCAAAAAUGGGUAAUACUGUUCCAUCCUUAAUGAAUAACAUAUAUGGGAACAAAUUAGUAGUUAUUGUGAAGGAAUCAGUAUUCUGAAGUGAAAAGCAUGACAGCUCCCUAAUAUUGGCUGACAUCAUUGUAAUCGUUUGAGAUAUAUGUAAGCUUUUGGAUAGUAACGACUCAAGUGUUGAUCUUCUAAAGUGAAGAUCAUGGUAACCCACUAGUAAUGAUUUAAAUGUUAUCAAACCUAGCAAAAUGAAUUACUAACCAGAACCUUACAAAAACUGAUUAAAAAAGGUUUACAAUGAUUUCAGUCAUUAAUAGGGAGAUCUUCAUACUGAAUACUGAUCCAAAAAAUUAGUAAUUCCUUCUGAAGGAUUUGGUAAUACUUGAGUCAUUAUAGUGGGUUACCAUGACCUUCACUUUAGAAUUAAUUAUUAAUUAUGCAUUAUUCAUAUUAAUUAUGAACCUA
ensembl:lncRNA